rnacentral:misc_RNA from 1 species
AUGGACAUUUAUAUAAAUAAUUGUUUUAGGGAGAAUAAUCGUGACUGCAAGUUAUUCCAAUUAUUUAAAGUCUUUUCACCUUUUUGGUUACUUAAAGAGAUUUAAGUCGGAAAGACAAUCCGUUAUCAAUAUUAAACAAGUGUAUGCUUAGGCAUAAAUUUGGGUGGUACCACGGAAAUGACUUUCGUCCCUUAUUUUUUAAGAGGAUGAAAGUCAUUUUUUAG